AUGAGUUGGCAAAACCAAAAUUGGGUCCAAAACAGGAAGACUAUAAAAAAGGUAAGUAGUAGUAAUCCCUUAGGUGUCCUUUUCAUCCUGGUUUUUGAGAAAGAUUGCAUUUGGUCACUUUGUCUGUUUAACUUGGCCCCAAAAUCUUCUGAGGUCAUCAGUUAAAUUCAGCUGAAAUGGUGAGAAUAGAUACUGCAAACUUCAUGAAUUUCCUUGGAGUUUUAUGAAAAGAGGUAGGUGCAAAUGAGAGGGGAUGCUAUUGAUUCCUUUAAUGCUGGAGAAGAAUGUAGUGUGAAUUCCUGCCUGCUCUUAGGAACUAGAAAAUCUAUUCUUUAGCUAAGGUUUCUUUGUGACAUGGAUUUUUUUGAGUCUUCAGCACCAAGAUUAAUUGUAAAUAAUUCUUGAAGUAUGAGGGAAUAAUGCAGUUUUGUAACACACGUGAAAAAUAAUUUGGUCAUGAGAUGGACAAACCCACUGAUGUGGGGAAGUUGAACAUAUUACCUUGGAACCAAAUUGCUGUGCUGAGUACACAAGUGGGCUUGGUGCCAUGAGGCUGGUUGCUGGAAGCCGGCAAAAUCCAGUAGCUCCAGGCAGCAUCCUGCCAAUCAUGGGCUGAAUGUGAAAGGGGCCUGAAAUGCCCUUUGUGUGCAAGUAAGUUCUACUUAUGCAAUAUAAAUUGUUAUUUAACGAGCUCAAAAUUAGUUUUAUAGUUGGGAUGAUGAGAUCAAAGCCUAGCUGUGCAUAAACUAACAAGGCGAUGUGUUGGAGCACUGGGUUCUGAGAAUUUCAGCCUUUCAGUGAUGAUAAGCAGUGAUCCUCAAAAGUACACUGUAUUUGACCCGAAACCUUGGGAAAAGCUCCCUAAAUUGUGUGAUAACACUGAGGUUGUUCCUGUGAAAUUAAAACUUAUUUCACUGGGUGGAAUAUGUAGAGAUGUAGAAAAUUAGGUUUAGGGGAUGUAGGUUACAAUAUGGAGAAAUUUGAGUGUGGAUCUUCUUCCUUUCUCCUUUCUCCUUCUUCACAAAUCUAGGGGUUAUGCUAUUGGGUCAAAAGUCCCGCACUGCAGGACAUGAAAAGUUAGUAAUUGGAUUAUAAAUAUAAACAAGUUACUUGGUAUUUCAUAACUGGUUAAUUUAGACCUUAAAAGCCUUGGAAGUUGGAACUCGCGGCCAUUUUCCAUCCUGUUACCUUGGAGGCACACUCUGUGCAGCUGUAUUAUAGAGAAGGUAUAACACCUAAGUCUGAACGAGAAUUCUCAGUCUCCUGCAUUUUAAUUCAAACUCUGAGUAAAAGAACUCACAAAACAGAAGCAAAGAAGAAAAGAAACAGUGAAGAAGAGAAAAACAAAAAAUGGGAAAAUUAAUAGUGAUGUAUCUAUUACUUUGUUGUUUCCACUUUUCCAGAGAGAAGGAACUGGAAUAAAUUUGACCCUGCAUGGAACAGAAGUUGAGUGUUGUCAUCAGAUUGGCUUUCCAGUCUAUUAGAAAGUUGCUGGACAAAUCAGGCUUUUAAAUAGGUAUUUUAAGCUUAAGCACUUUAAGUUGAAUGCUGUGGUCAUGACAAUGACUUUCAAUUCAGUAUUUAAAGAAAAAAAUCCA
rnacentral:lncRNA from 13 species